UGGGGAAUCUUCCGCAAUGGACGAAAGUCUGACGGAGCAACGCCGCGUGAGUGAAGACGGCCUUCGGGUUGUAAAGCUCUGUUAUUCGGGAAGAACGAUUCGUUUGUGAACAAUGAACGGAAGUGACGGUACCGAAAGAGAAAGCCACGGCUAACUACGUGCCAGCAGCCGCGGUAAUACGUAGGUGGCAAGCGUUGUCCGGAAUUAUUGGGCGUAAAGAGCGCGUAGGCGGUAUGGUAAGUCUGUCUUAGAAGUGCGGGGCUUAACCCCGGGAGGGGACAGAGACUGUCAUACUGGAGUGUCGGAGAGGAAAGCGGAAUUCCUAGUGUAGCGGUGAAAUGCGUAGAGAGUAGGAAGAACACCGGUGGCGAAGGCGGCUUUCUGGACGAGCACUGACGCUGAGGCGCGAAAGCGUGGGGAGCGAACAGG
rnacentral:rRNA from 1 species